rnacentral:tRNA from 1 species
GAGGAGUGGCCGAGUGGUUGAAGGCGGCGGUCUUGAAAACCGUUGUGGGGACCUCUCCACCGUGGGUUCGAAUCCUACCUCCUCC